CGAAAGGGGAAAUUCAGUCUCGUCUCGGUUGUCGGCGAUUUGCGUUAGAGUGACGGACGGCGUGUGCGUUCGUAUGUGCCGUCUGCGCCUUUCGUUUUUCGAACCGAUAUCGAACGGGUGCACUUUUCCCCUAGUAGGACGUCGCGAUCCGUUGGGUGUCGGUCUAAGGCUCGCGGUGGAGCCCACGAGGACGUCUAGGCGUUCCCCGUGGACCCGCGGUGUCCCGGCCGACUCGCUCGACGGUAUAAAUAUGGCGCGGGGCCGCUACUUUAUAGUUAGCGUUCGGCCUGCAGCAAGCACGUCCGUUUUUUGACGGAGAUCGGACCUGGUGCCGGUCCUGUCUGCGGGCGACUGUUGGCUGUGGUGUUCUCGAACAGACCUCGUUGAAACGCCGAUCUGCGACGCUCUAGCUUUGGGUACUUUCAGGACCCGUCUUGAA
rnacentral:rRNA from 1 species